GCAGAAGCGCGGUCUGUCGCUUGCAUGGCCUCAACAGGCCUGCAAGAGGAAAGUCCGGGCAACACAGAGCAACAUGCUUCCUAACGGGAAGCCGGCGGCGACGCCGGGGAUAAGUGACAGAAAACAACCGCCCGCCUCCUUUCGAGAGGCGCGGUAAGGGUGAAAAGGCGGUGUAAGAGACCACCGGUCGGCAUGGCGACAUGUCGAGCCGCACAUCCCAUGUGUUGCAAGGCCAAAUAUACCGGCAGAGAAGGGCUGCUCGUCCUUUGCCGGGGGGUAGGCUGCUUUAGCCGGCGGGCAACCGUGCGGCAUAGAUAAAUGACAGACACCCUUAUCUAUUUUGAUGAAAGGGGUACAUAACCCGGCUUACAACGCUUCUGUCUUU
rnacentral:RNase_P_RNA from 1 species